UACGUAGGGUGCAAGCGUUGCCCGGAAUUAUUGGGCGUAAAGAGCUCGUAGGCGGUUUGUCGCGUCUGCUGUGAAAACUCGGGGCUCAACUCCGAGCUUGCAGUGGGUACGGGCAGACUAGAGUGCGGUAGGGGAGACUGGAAUUCCUGGUGUAGCGGUGAAAUGCGCAGAUAUCAGGAGGAACACCGAUGGCGAAGGCAGGUCUCUGGGCAUUAACUGACGCUGAGGAGCGAAAGCAUGGGGAGCGAACAGG
rnacentral:rRNA from 1 species